UGGCGGCNGGCUUAACNCAUGCAAGUCGAACGCCCCGCAAGGGGAGUGGCNGACGGGUGAGUAACGCGUGGGAACGUACCUUUCGCUUCGGAAUAUUCCCGGGAAACUGGGAGCAAUGCCGAAUACGCCGUAUUGGGAAAGAUUUAUCGGCGAAAGAUCGGCCCGCGUUAGAUUAGGUAGUUGGCGGUGUAAUGGACCACCAAGCCUACGAUCUAUAGCUGGUCUGAGAGGAUGAUCAGCCACACUGGGACUGAGACACGGCCCAGACUCCUACGGGAGGCAGCAGUGGGGAAUCUUGGACAAUGGGCGCAAGCCUGAUCCAGCCAUGCCGCGUGAGUGAAGAAGGCCUUAGGGUUGUAAAACUC
rnacentral:rRNA from 1 species